CCCCCUUGGAGCGUGACAUAAUUUGUGUACGACCCCUUAUAUGAAUGCAUAUGAGAACCACUCGAGCGAAUCUAAUUCUCAGCUGCAAAUCGCGUAGCGAAAAUAAGUUUUGCGAUAGGCUACGCCGGAAGGAAUGUGUCGUCGUUUCCAUCUCUAGAGAAUGUUUGCAGAGCUACUACUCGACGACAAGCGUGACAAUCUUGCCGAUAGUGUAGUGUUGCGAACUGUAAUGUGCUUUUUUGUGUUUUAAGCUUUGCUGCGGUUGGCACUCUGAGUGAUAAGAUUAAAUUUAGGUCGAUGCUUUUUGCACACUACUCUUGCGGCUGAUGUUGGGUACACGCUUAUCCACGACGCGCGUCAAUUUAUCUUGAUGAAAUAGGCUAAAAUUUCGAUUGCGACUAACUUACAGAUUGUAUAAAUAAUAUUGAAGCACCACUAACGAGAAUUUGCAGCUCUACUAUUGCUGUGGCUGCUGAUGGUGCCAGUUGCUGGUAAUUCGACCUGUCCGGUUUCGUUGCCGGGACCUGCUGUUACUGCUGGUGAUGUGGGAAGAAGCAGCUACCGCCAUGGAAGGGGCCGCAAUUGCAUCGUACGUGCUGGAUGGUGCAGGACAGCCUGGGAAACGAUAAGCAUUGAAUUAUUUAAAUGGAAUCAUAAAGUGAUGCUUAACCCUU